rnacentral:rRNA from 1 species
GCAUAUCAAUAAGCGGAGGAAAAGAAACCAACAGGGAUUGCUCUAGUAACGGCGAGUGAAGCAGCAAUAGCUCAAAUUUGAAAUCUGGCGUCUCCGACGUCCGAGUUGUAAUUUGUAGAGGAUGCUUCUGAGUAACCACCGACCUAAGUUCCUUGGAACAGGACGUCAUAGAGGGUGAGAAUCCCGUAUGCGGUCGGAAAGGUGCUCUAUACGUAGCUCCUUCGACGAGUCGAGUUGUUUGGGAAUGCAGCUCUAAAUGGGAGGUAAAUUUCUUCUAAAGCUAAAUAUUGGCCAGAGACCGAUAGCGCACAAGUAGAGUGAUCGAAAGAUGAAAAGCACUUUGGAAAGAGAGUUAAAAAGCACGUGAAAUUGUUAAAAGGGAAGGGAUUGCAACCAGACUUGCUCGCGGUGUUCCGCCGGUCUUCUGACCGGUCUACUCGCCGCGUUGCAGGCCAGCAUCGUCUGGUGCCGCUGGAUAAGACUCGAGGAAUGUAGCUCCUUCGGGAGUGUUAUAGCCUCUUGUGAUGCAGCGAGCGCCGGGCGAGGUCCGCGCUUCGGCUAGGAUGCUGGCGUAAUGGUCGUAAUCCGCCCGUCUUGAAACACGGACC